rnacentral:rRNA from 1 species
UAGGGAAUCUUCCACAAUGGACGAAAGUCUGAUGGAGCGACGCCGCGUGAGUGAAGAAGGUUUUCGGAUCGUAAAGCUCUGUUGUUGGUGAAGAAGGAUAGAGGCAGUAACUGGUCUUUAUUUGACGGUAAUCAACCAGAAAGUCACGGCUAACUACGUGCCAC